GUCACACCUGUUCCCAUGCCGAACACAGAAGUUAAGCUCCUUAGCGUCGAUGGUAGUCGAACUUACGUUCCGCUAGAGUAGAACGUUGCCAGGCA
rnacentral:rRNA from 42 species